UGUACUUUUGUCAAAACGAAAGUUGCUUAGACAGCUGGGAAAGGGAAAUCGUGAAAAACGAGCAGACCCCCUAACGCCAGAGGAAAUCGAUCUUCUUUAUGAAAGGAAUCUUCUUGGAACUGGAGAUCCCAAGUCACUGAUAAAUGUUUUGUAUCUUAACAAUACAAUGCAUUUUGGAAUGAGAAGCAGAGCUGAACAUGUCAGUCUUAGAUGGGGUGAUGUGCAGCAAAAGGUCACCUCGACUGGAGAGGAAUAUUUAGAAUAUAGAGAGAGAUCAACAAAGACAAGAACUGGGGUCACAAGUGAGAGUCGGAGUUUUGCACCAAAGAUGUUUGAAAAUAGAGGUACAUAUUGGCAGAUUUAUAAAACCUUUAUUUGUUAACCUGAGAUUUAUUCCUGAAACCUGAGUAGUUUGAAUGUUGCAUAUAAAUUAGUAUAUGGCUCUCUAUACAUAAACUACAUAUAUGUUUUGUCAUUUAAGAUAAUCCCCGAUGCCCUGUGUUAGCGUAUAAGGAGUUUGCAAGGAGAAGACCAGAACAGAUGAACAACCCCGAGUCGCCAUUUUACUUAGGAGUUUCAAGGCACCCUGAAAAAGCUUGGUAUGUCAACCAACCAAUGGGAAAGAAUACGAUUGGCAACAUUGUGAAGGUCAUGUGUGAGGCAGGGGGAAUCCAAGGAAGAAAAGUUAACCACAGCGCAAGAAAGACAGCCAUUAGUUCCCUAGUACAUGCUGGUGUCCCCCCAACCAUAAUUCAGCAGCUGUCCGGCCAUAAGAAUGUUAACUCUAUUAAUAAUUACAGCACUGCCUCCAAUGAACAGCAGAGGCACAUGUCUUCUAUUCUUACAAACUAUUCAUCUAGUUGCUCGGAACCACCAGUCACAGAAUUCGACAGUUCCUCUUCAUCCCUUGAUAAAUGUAGCUCAGCUCUGCCAUCCACCAGUGUGGUGCCUUCAUCAAACACUGAUGAUAUUAUUCAUCAAACACUGACUGAAAUAAGUUCUUAUGAAAAUCAACCCAUAAUGAAAGAGCAUGUCUUUGGCAAUUUUAGGGGGGCCAAUAUUUCUGGCAAUGUUAUAUUUAACUUCUCUUCCAAACAACCAAAAUCCCUAAAGAGAUGUAGAGUCAUCUACAGUGAUUCAGAGUCAGAUUAGGGGAAAAGGAACUCGAUCUGUGAUAUCUUGUAAAUAUGUUCAAAUAUUCAAAGUGAAGUUGUGUUAUAGCUAAAAUAACUGUGAUAUUUUCUUUGUUAUUAAAUUUUGUUAUUGUUAAAAAAUAUAAAAGAUUAUUUGUGUUUAAAUUAUCUGUUAAGUUUACCAGUAAUGUGUUAAAUUUUGUCUUUAUACAUGUAUCAUAUUGUUUAAAAUGAAUUUUGAAUCAUUUAUGUUUAUAAGGAAAAGGAACUGGGUCUGUUAUAUCUUGUAAAUAUAUAUAUGUUCAAAUAGUAAAAGUGAAGUUGUUUUAUAGCUAUAAAUGUGAUAUUUUCUUUGUUAUUAAAUUUUGUUAUUGUUAAACAAUAUGAAAGUUUAUUUAUGUGUUCAAAUUAUCUAUUAAGUUGUUGUUUGUUAUAAUUGUGUUAAAUUAUGUCUUUAUACAAGUAUGAUAUUGUUUAAAAAUGAAAUAUCAUUUAUGUUCAUAUUCUCUGUUUAAGUUAUUGUUAUUAAACAAACUACAUUGU
rnacentral:misc_RNA from 1 species